rnacentral:lncRNA from 1 species
AUGGACUACCUACCCCCUGCUCCCACCCGGCGCGGGGCCGCAGGCCGCCGGCCGCUGCACUCGGGCCGGCUCCCAAGCUCAAGGCCGUCGACCACCGCGGACCCUCCCGGAGGGGCCGACGACCCCAGGGCAGGGGCAGAAGCAGCCUCGGCUCGGGAGAAGGCGAACAGGAAGUGUCCAUAUUGCAACGCUCCAGCAGCAGCCCGAGUCCCAAGCCAGCCGGUGGCCGGCUCCCCUCGGGGGGCACCAGGGCGAGGAGCGGGGCCGGGGUCGGCCACCACUACCCCACAUCCGGGCCCCGCGCCCGAAGUUCACGCGGGUCGCGCGCGGCGCCUCCGGGGCACUACUUCUCCGGGCCCGGCCAUCCCGCCCUCUCGCCCCGGGCCGGAGCGGACCGGGACUCCACGCCGCGCGCGUCCCGCUCGGAUCGGAACCCGAGCGGCGACGUGGCGCGGGCUCCCCGGGCGCUUAGAGCAACUCUCGGGUCGCAGGUUUCAGGCGAGCUCUGCCCGGCCGUGCCCACCGUGGCUCGGGCCGCGCGACGCCCCCUCCGGGCGGUCAUUACCUCGGGAGAAACUCCUAACUCCUCACGGGGGCCGUGCUCGCCUCAGUUCCACACCCCCGGGGAACCCACGCUCCGCCCGAGCCGCGCGCCGGGAACACCCCCGCGCCGGGCGCCAGUCAGUUCUUCACGGGACAAAAAAAAAAAAAAAAUGUCCCGGCGCGUCACGGGACAGCCGCCUCCGCGCCCCACGCCCUGCGCCGCCGGCCGCACGCGCUGCCUCCCUCCGCGCCCGCGCCGCUCGGCCCCGGGGACUCACCGUCAGCUCCAGCCGCCGCGAAGGGGAGGAGAGGGCCGGGCUCGGGCCGGGCCACACACAAUAUGGCAGAGCACCGCAGCUGCUCCCGCGGCUCGCAGAAGCCGCCUCCGGGACACCCAGCCGCGAGCAGGCAGCGGCAGCUGCGGUGGCGGCCGCCGCAGCACCACAUCCCCCUCCCGCUCGCCCGCUUCCUCCCUCCUCCCCGCCCCGCUGCCAUGGCAACGCGGCGCCAAGGCGCUUGGCCCCGCCCCCUCCUUCCGCCCCGCCUCCCGUGGCUCGCCCAGGCCUCCCUCCUGCCUGCUCGCAGGGCGGCGGCCGCCCCCUCCGGGCUAUCCCGAAGGCGGGUGGGGGAAGGUGGCGUCCGGAAGGGCGGGGCGGGCUCGGAAGGCCGGGUGGGGGACGCCGAGGGCCCGGAGCCGGGCGAAGCAGGCGGGAAAAUGAAAAGCCUUCGCCUGUCCCCGGAAGGACCUAUGGGAGGGCGGCAGAGGCGCGGCGCGGCUGCUGA